UGAGUACAGAAACCACGUCUAUUACUUCAACAGUGGUGCCUACAACUUCAGAGAGUACAACAGCAGAAACCACGACUACAGCUUCAUCAACCACAACUACAACAACAAACAAUCCAACAACAUCAACAUCUGUAACUUCUGAAUCUACAACUCUUACUUCAACAGUUACACCUACAUCUUCAGAAACAACUACACCUCUAACAACAUCAGUAACUACAGCAUCCUCAACUACUGAAAUUCCCACAACCACAGUGGUGAGUUUAGAAACCACAUCUAUUACUUCAACAGUGGUGCCUACAACUUCAGAGAGUACAACAGUAGAAACCACGACUACAGCUUCAUCAACCACUCCUACAACAACAAACAAUCCAACAACAUCAACAUCUGUAACUUCUGAAUCUACAACUCUUACUUCAACAGUUACACCUACAUCUUCAGAAACAACUACACCUCUAACAACAUCAGUAACUACAGCAUCCUCAACUACUGAAAUUCCCACAACCACAGUGGUGAGUUUAGAAACCACAUCUAUUACUUCAACAGUGGUGCCUACAACUUCAGAGAGUACAACAGUAGAAACCACGACUACAGCUUCAUCAACCACUCCUACAACAACAAACGAUCUAACAACAUCAACGGCUGUAACUUCAGAAUCCACAACUCUCAUUUCAACGACAGCGCCUACAUCUUCAGAAACAACUGCACCUUUAACAACUUCAGAAACUACAGCAUCCUCAACUUCUGAAAUUCCCACAACCACAGUUGUGAGUACAGAAACCACAUCUAUUACUUCAACAGUGGUGCCAACAACUUCAGAGAGUACAACAGCAGAAACCACGACUACAGUUUCAUCAACCACUCCUACAACAACAAACGAUCCAACAACAUCAACGGCUGUAACUUCAGAAACUACAGCUCUUACUUCAACAGUUAUACCUACGUCUUCAGAAACAACUACACCUCUAACAACAUCAGUAACUACAGCAUCCUCAACUUCUGAAAUUCCCACAACCACAGUUGUGAUUUCAGAAACCACAUCUAUUACUUCAACAGUGGUGCCUACAACUUCAGAGAGUACAACAGUAGAAACCACGACUACAGCUUCAUCAACCACUCCUACAACAACAAACGAUCUAACAACAUCAACGGCUGUAACUUCAGAAUCCACAACUCUCAUUUCAACGACAGCGCCUACAUCUUCAGAAACAACUGCACCUUUAACAACUUCAGAAACUACAGCAUCCUCAACUACUGAAAUUCCCACAACCACAGUUGUGAGUACAGAAACCACAUCUAUUACUUCAACAGUGGUGCCUACAACUUCAGAGAGUACAACAGCAGAAACCACGACUACAGCUUCAUCAACCACAACUACAACAACGAACAAUCCAACAACAUCAACAUCUGUAACUUCUGAAUCUACAACUCUUACUUCAACAGUUACACCUACAUCUUCAGAAACAACUACACCUCUAACAACAUCAGUAACUACAGCAUCCUCAACUACUGAAAUUCCCACAACCACGGUGGUGAGUUUAGAAACCACAUCUAUUACUUCAACAGUGGUGCCUACAACUUCAGAGAGUACAACAGUAGAAACCACGACUACAGCUUCAUCAACCACUCCUACAACAACAAACGAUCCAACAACAUCAACAGCUGUAACUUCAGAAACUACAACUCUUACUUCAACAGUUAUACCUACAUCUUCAGAAACAACUACACCUCUAACAACAUCAGUAACUACAGAUUCCUCAACUACUGAAAUUCCCACAACCACAGUUGUGAGUACAGAAACCACAUCUAUUACUUCAACAGUGGUGCCUACAACUUCAGAGAGUACAACAGUAGAAACCACGACUACAGCUUCAUCAACCACUCCUACAACAACAAACGAUCUAACAACAUCAACGGCUGUAACUUCAGAAUCCACAACUCUCAUUUCAACGACAGCGCCUACAUCUUCAGAAACAACUGCACCUUUAACAACUUCAGAAACUACAGCAUCCUCAACUACUGAAAUUCCCACAACCACAGUUGUGAGUACAGAAACCACAUCUAUUACUUCAACAGUGGUGCCUACAACUUCAGAGAGUACAACAGCAGAAACCACGACUACAGCUUCAUCAACCACAACUACAACAACGAACAAUCCAACAACAUCAACAUCUGUAACUUCUGAAUCUACAACUCUUACUUCAACAGUUACACCUACAUCUUCAGAAACAACUACACCUCUAACAACAUCAGUAACUACAGCAUCCUCAACUACUGAAAUUCCCACAACCACGGUGGUGAGUUUAGAAACCACAUCUAUUACUUCAACAGUGGUGCCUACAACUUCAGAGAGUACAACAGUAGAAACCACGACUACAGCUUCAUCAACCACUCCUACAACAACAAACGAUCCAACAACAUCAACAGCUGUAACUUCAGAAACUACAACUCUUACUUCAACAGUUAUACCUACAUCUUCAGAAACAACUACACCUCUAACAACAUCAGUAACUACAGCUUCCUCAACUACUGAAAUUCCCACAACCACAGUUGUGAGUACAGAAACCACAUCUAUUACUUCAACAGUGGUGCCUACAACUUCAGAGAGUACAACAGUAGAAACCACGACUACAGCUUCAUCAACCACUCCUACAACAACAAACGAUCUAACAACAUCAACGGCUGUAACUUCAGAAUCCACAACUCUCAUUUCAACG
ensembl:lncRNA